rnacentral:hammerhead_ribozyme from 1 species
GAGCGAAACCUAGCCCCUUCACCGGGGCGAUGGUCUGCCGGGCGUGGUUGCCCGGUACUGAUGAGCAGCCGAGG